rnacentral:misc_RNA from 1 species
GUGAAUCAUCGAAUUUUUGAACGCAAAUUGCACUCUCUGGUAUUCCGGAGAGUAUGCCUGUUUGAGGGUCAGUUUAAAUAAAAAUCGGUGUGGUUGCUGCCUUUCGUGGUGACGCACCGGAUUUGGGUCGUCUUGCCUUCGGUUAAGUGACCUAAAAUUGUGCAUGAUUUUUUUCGACCUAUUUAAAUUAAUUUUCCUUCCUUUUCCAUUACCAAUAC